AGUGAGCGCUGGCGGUAGGCCUAACACAUGCAAGUCGAACGGCAGCACAGUAAGAGCUUGCUCUUACGGGUGGCGAGUGGCGGACGGGUGCGGAAUACAUCGGAAUCUACUUUUUCGUGGGGGAUAACGUAGGGAAACUUACGCUAAUACCGCAUACGACCUACGGGUGAAAGCAGGGGAUCUUCGGACCUUGCGCGAUUGAAUGAGCCGAUGUCGGAUUAGCUAGUUGGCGGGGUAAAGGCCCACCAAGGCGACGAUCCGUAGCUGGUCUGAGAGGAUGAUCAGCCACACUGGAACUGAGACACGGACCAGACUCCGACGUGAGGCAGCAGUGGGGAAUAUUGGACAAUGAGCGCAAGCCUGAUCCAGCCAUACCGCGUGGGUGAAGAAGGCCUUCGGGUUGUAAAGCCCUUUUGUUGGGAAAGAAAAGCAGCAGGUUAAUACCCCGCUGUUCUGACGGUACCCAAAGAAUAAGCACCGGCUAACUUCGU
rnacentral:rRNA from 1 species